AGGUUAUCAAACUUGUGGCACCUGACACUUCCCUCCCAGAGCAGAAGCACCACCUAAAGGCAGGGAUCUGCCUCCAUCACCAACUGACACAGACUGCACUAGGUGCUCUGGCUGCCCUUCUGCCAGCCAUUGUUCAACUUGGUCUGACCCACAAAUGGGAGAAGCUUUGCUAAUUCAGCUUUAAUGACACUCCCAACCCAGCAAAAUUCUUGACUCCUGCGGAUGAAGGGGGGUUCUUUGGCAAGACUUGGUGCAUCCAGCCCACAGGCAGUGGUGGAAUCAGCAUCCCUGGAAGUGUUCAAAAAGUGCAAAUGUUCCAUCACUUGUGUGCCUAAAGCCCAGAGGGGGUACCCUAGAGGAAGGAAACUUGAUGUUUCUGGCUACAUGAACACAUUACAUCCUCACCUCAAUAACUUCUUAGGCUGCAUGUAUAAUGCCUUCUCAUCAUUUUGGUACCUGGAAAAUGUCCAUUUAAAGAAAGGUUUUGCUGAUGACUGCUUCCAGAGUCUCCAGUUUUUUAUUUCCCUUAAUUUUGCUUGUAUAGAAGUAUUUUCCAUGUGCACAAUUCUAGUUUUAGUUUAGUAGGAUUGCCUCACCAGCAUACAAGCAGCCUGCCUUUCAUCUGGAUGAAGCCAAGAUCUUGGAUCAGCUUCUAUGUUAAAUAUAAAAUAUUAGUUCUAGAUAAACUAAUUUGUGUUGUGUAAAGAUUGGUUGCUUCCUCUUCAGAGAAUGAAUGGAUAUUCUAAUUUUUUUUCCUUCUUUCCAGCUGGAAAAACAGCUGAACAUGGAGUUGUUGAAUGUAGGUUUCUUAUUUUCACAGAAAAAGUAUGGACAAUUACAUCAUGCAUUUUAAUUAUUUCAGCCCCUACAAAAAGAGAAGCAUAUUUGAUCUGUUUUUCAUUAACUGAUUCAGUAAUAAUACUCAGUAUUUGUAAUAGUAACAGUAAUUAAAAAAAAAAAAUCUUUUUUUCUUAGACCUAUAUGUCAAGGUCAGUCAUUCUGCAGAGUUUUGUUUUAGUAGCUUGGAUAGGAAGAGAGUUAAAAAAUGGGAACUUUCUAGGGUGCCAGGAGUGUUGACAGAAAGUCAAGGAAAAAUAUAUGGCAAAAAGUAAUAGAAAUCAGGAAAAGCACUGCAGGUGAUGAAAGAGAUGUGAUAAAUAGCAAAAGGAGUUGGGAGAAUAAACAUUCCCAGUCUUGAAAAGAGGCAAGGGAAGGCAGGAGGGAGUGGCAGGGGGAGACAGAUCCUCCAGUAUCCCAGAUCUGCAGGUUUGGGGAGAUAGUGCUGUGUGGAUGUGAGCAGGAAACAUGAAAUGGAAUAAUUCCAUAUGAAGAACCAGCUGAGUCCUUGGAAAGCAAAGAAAAAAACCUGCAACCUGAAGGAGAAGAAGUGGCUCUUCACCCACCCAGGUUCUCUUGGGUGUCACUGCCUGGUACCAGUCCUUGUUCAAGCUCUUUGCAAAGGGGAAUCACUGAUCCUGCUCCAUAUGAGGGAGUGGGAAGCAAAUGCAAAUGGGGGAGGCAGGCGCCUCUGGACUCCAGAUGUGAUGCUCUGCAAGGCUCGUGUUGCCCUGUCUCCAGCAGCGAUUCCUCUGCAGGUCUCAUUAACCUUGUGCAAUUGGGCAGGAAAAGGCCAAGAGCAUGGUCCUUCCAGAGUCCUUCCACCUGCUCCAGGCUUCAGAAGGGGGAUAAGGCUGUGGGACAGGGCUGGGAAUGUGCAGCCAGCCAGGGACUCUGCCGGGACUCGCUGUGAGUAUUCGCACUGCGUCUGCCAUGGAGGAGCUGUGCUCUUGGCUGCUGAGCUGGGCUGCCCUGCAAAAUAUGGAAAAUGCUUUCCAAUCAAGCAAGAACUCUGUAUGCAUAAUAAACGUGUGAUUUUCUGAUGGCUACGUACAGCACAAAUGCUGAAGAAUAGUCUGUGUGCCUUGUCAGAGCACUUAAGUUAAAUAGGGGCACUUUGCAUCAUUGUUUUGAUCUUCAAAAUAAGAGAAAAUUGAAUGCAAAGAGCUGUAGGGAACUUUCAAAGGCACACGAGCAAUUAGGAGCAUAAGUCCUCUUGGCUGAAUAAUCACUCUGGGAUAUUUUUCUUUUCCUGUAUCCUCAACUCCCCUCAAAGUAUUGAUGGCAAAAUAGGUCCUGGAAAAUUUGACUCUCUCCAGCUUGUUUGUCCUGUUGGUGAAUCUGUGGAUGCUCCAAGCUGCUUUAGGUUUCCUCUUCUCUGCUGCUGGCUACUUUUACUGGGUUGGUAAAAUAACAUCCAGAUACUGAUGAACUUCUGUUUUGCUGGAAGUCUGUCUGCAGGUCUUCCCAUAAAAAGGUUAGUGUGAUGGAGAUUGACUGGUAUAAAUGGUGCAUGUCUGUGUACAUAAUGUCUGUGGGUAAAUGUGUAUGAAUACAUGAAAUUUUAUAGAAAGAAAACUUUCCCCCUUAGGGAAACACUCCUUAGUAUUGUCAGCAAAGUCUGAAUUCCUCUUCUUAAACCCCUAUCCAGAAUUUAAUAAAU